UACGUAGGGUGCAAGCGUUAAUCGGAAUUACUGGGCGUAAAGCGUGCGCAGGCGGUUAUGCAAGACAGAUGUGAAAUCCCCGGGCUCAACCUGGGAACUGCAUUUGUGACUGCAUGGCUUGAGUGCGGCAGAGGGAGAUGGAAUUCCGCGUGUAGCAGUGAAAUGCGUAGAUAUGCGGAGGAACACCGAUGGCGAAGGCAAUCUCCUGGGCCUGCACUGACGCUCAUGCACGAAAGCGUGGGGAGCAAACAGG
rnacentral:rRNA from 1 species